rnacentral:rRNA from 1 species
AUGGACAACAGCAUGCCUGUAGUCAGUAAGAUGUAUUGCUCAAGCACUCCAGCGGCGCUGAUGAUCAGGAGAAGACCCAUGGUAGUGAAUGGCGGUGGUUUUGUUGUUACUGACUUUAGUCAUAAUGUUGUUUUCAUUGUGGAUGGUUGUGGUAUACUUGGAUCUAAGGGGGAGCUCAUGGUGAAAGACAGUGAUGGAGAACAGAUACUAUUCAUUUCUAGAAAGGGAGGAAUUGUACAGGCUCUAAGCACGCGGAACAAAUGGAAUGGGUACUCAAUGGAUUACCAAGGGAAAAACAAGUUGGUCUUUAGCCUAACUGAUCCCAAAUCAUGCAUAGCAAAAGGUGCACCGGUUAGAAUUCACAUUGAACCAAAGAGGCACUGCAAUAAUUGGGAUUUCGAGAUCUGUGGAUCUUUUGCAGAUAGGAACUGCACAAUAAUUGAUUGCACUGGAAAAAUAGUGGCGCAGAUGGGGAAGAAAGAGCUGAUAGAAAGUAAUGACUUCUACCACGUGACAGUGCAGUCAGGAUGUGACCAGGCUUUUAUCAUUGGGGUGAUGGCAGUUCUUGACAACAUCCAUGGAGAAUCCACCAGAUGUUAA